rnacentral:lncRNA from 1 species
GCCCGGCAGGCGUCCUGCGGCCCCGGCGCGACCCCUCCGCACCCGGCGCCGGGUCUCCCGCCGGUCCCCUCACCCCGUCACUCCUCCCGCCGCUGCUGCGCACGGGCACACUCCGCCUCUCAGGCACUCACCCUGGCCUCCUCUCACACACUCAGCCCUGCCAUCUCUCACACACCCCUGCCCCCUCUCACACACUCAGCCCUGCCAUCUCUCACACAUCCCUGCCCCCUCUCACACACUCACACUGGCCUCCUCUCACACACUCAGCCCUGCCCGCUCUCACACACUCACACUGGCCUCCUCUCACACACUCAGCCCUGCCCGCUCUCACACACUCACACUGGCCUCCUCUCACACACUCACCCCGGCCUCCUCUCACACUCAGCCCUGCCUCCUCUCACACACCCCUGCCUCCUCUCACAUACUCAGCCCUGCCUUCUCUCACACACUCACACUGCCCUCCUCUCACACACCCCUGCCUCCUCUCACACACUCACACUGGCCUCCUCUCACACACUCACACUGGCCUCCUCUCACACACCCUUGCCUCCUCACACACUCAGCCCUGCCUCCUCUCACACUCAGCCCUGCCUUCUCUCACACACCCCUGCCUCCUCUCGCACACUCACCCCUGCCUGCUCCCUCACACACUCACCGCAGCCUGUCUCACACGCAUUGCUCACUCUCCUUCCUCUGGCACACUCGCUGCGCGUUCCUCACACACCUUGGCUGGUGCCCCCUGACACACCGCCUCCCUCCCCACCUGGCAGGCUCACGCCUUCCGCACCGGCCGGGGCGGCCACGUGGCCCCAAGCUGGCCUGGAGCCUCCCGCCGCCCUCCCCGCAGGCGGCCGGUGGACGGGGCUCGGCGCUGCAGCCCGCCCUGCUCGCUCAGCCUCGGCCCGGCCGCCGAGCCCGCCCCACGUGCCCCCGCCCCAGGUGUCUCCGUCCAGUCGCGCCUUCCAUGGGGGCGGGGACGGCCGUCCGUCCGACCAGGCGGAGCCCGCCGGCGCAGAAGACGAGUCCCGAUCCUCCGUCUUCUCCGGGACCUCCGCGCGUGCAGGCCGGCUAGCCUGGGCUCCAGCGGGCUUGUCGCGUGCACGCUUGCACGACGAAUGA